rnacentral:rRNA from 1 species
GUGGGUGGCCAUGCCUCCUUGAUGAUGCUCAAUCUUCUUAGAUCUCAGACGCUAAGCAAGGCCUGGUUAGUGCUUGGAUGGGAGACCGCUGGGAAUACCAGGUGCCACUGAGG